rnacentral:rRNA from 1 species
AUUGAACGCUGGCGGCAUGCCUUACACAUGCAAGUCGAACGGCAGCAUGAUCUAGCUUGCUAGAUUGAUGGCGAGUGGCGAACGGGUGAGUAAUACAUCGGAACGUGCCCUGUAGUGGGGGAUAACUAGUCGAAAGAUUAGCUAAUACCGCAUACGACCUGAGGGUGAAAGUGGGGGACCGCAAGGCCUCAUGCUAUAGGAGCGGCCGAUGUCUGAUUAGCUAGUUGGUGAGGUAAAGGCUCACCAAGGCGACGAUCAGUAGCUGGUCUGAGAGGACGAUCAGCCACACUGGGACUGAGACACGGCCCAG